rnacentral:rRNA from 1 species
AACGCGAAGAACCUUACCUGGGCUCGAAAUGCAGAGAGCGAUACCAGAAUGGUAUUUCCGUAAGGAUUCUGUAUAGGUGCUGCAUGGCUGUCGUCAGCUCGUGCCGUGAGGUGUUGGGUUAAGUCCCGCAACGAGCGCAACCCUUAUCACUAGUUGCCAUCAUUUAAGGUGGGGACUCUAAUGAGACUGCCUAGGUUAACUAGGAGGAAGGCGAGGAUGACGUCAAGUCCGCAUGGCCUUUAUGUCCAGGGCUACACACGUGCUACAAUGGUCGGUACAGAGGGCUACAAGACCGUAAGGUGGAGCAAAUCCCAGAAAGCCGAUCUCAGUUCAGAUUGUGGACUGCAACUCGUCCACAUGAAGUCGGAAUUGCUAGUAAUGGCGUGUCAGCAAUAACGCCGUGAAUACGUUCCCGGGCCUUGUACACACCGACUGUAC